rnacentral:rRNA from 1 species
ACGCUAGCUACAGGCUUAACACAUGCAAGUCGAGGGGCAGCAUGGAAGAAGCUUGCUUCUUCUGAUGGCGACCGGCGCACGGGUGCGUAACGCGUAUCAAACCUGCCUCAUACUCGGGGAUAGCCUUGCGAAAGUAAGAUUAAUACCCGAUGUUGUUAUGUUACCGCAUGGUGAUAUAACCAAAGAUUUAUCGGUAUGAGAUGGUGAUGCGUCCGAUUAGGUAGUAGGCGGGGUAACGGCCCACCUAGCCUUCGAUCGGUAGGGGUUCUGAGAGGAAGGUCCCCCACACUGGAACUGAGACACGGUCCAGACUCCUACGGGAGGCAGCAGUGAGGAAUAUUGGUCAAUGGACGGAAGUCUGAACCAGCCAAGUAGCGUGCAGGAUGACGGCCCUCCGGGUUGUAAACUGCUUUUAGUUGGGAAUAAAAAGAGGGACGUGUCCCUCAUUGUAUGUACCUUCAGAAAAAGGACCGGCUAAUUCCGUGCCAGCAGCCGCGGUAAUACGGAAGGUCCAGGCGUUAUCCGGAUUUAUUGGGUUUAAAGGGAGCGUAGGCGGAUUAUUAAGUCAGUGGUGAAAGACGGUGGCUCAACCAUCGUUAGCCAUUGAAACUGGUAGUCUUGAGUGCAGACAGGGAUGCUGGAACUCGUGGUGUAGCGGUGAAAUGCUUAGAUAUCACGAUGAACUCCGAUCGCGAAGGCAGGUGUCCGGGCUGCAACUGACGCUGAGGCUCGAAAGUGUGGGUAUCAAACAGGAUUAGAUACCCUGGUAGUCCACACAGUAAACGAUGUAUACUCGCGGUUUGCGAUACAGUGUAAGCCGCCAAGCGAAAGCAUUAAGUAUACCACCUGGGGAGUACGCCGGCAACGGUGAAACUCAAAGGAAUUGACGGGGGCCCGCACAAGCGGAGGAACAUGUGGUUU